AUUGAACGCUGGCGGCAGGCCUAACACAUGCAAGUCGAGCGAGCGGCGGACGGGUGAGUAAUGUAUGGGGACUGCCCGAUAGAGGGGGAUAACUACUGGAAAAGGUGGCUAAUACUGCAUACUAUCGGCUAAUCCAUAUGGGAUUAGCUAGUAGGUGGGGUAAAGGCUCCCCUAGGCGACGCUCUCUAGCUGGUCUGAGAGGAUGAUCAGGCACACUGAGACUGAGACACGGCCCAGACUCCAACGGAGGCAGCAGUGGGGAAUAUUAGACAAUGGACGCAAGCCUGAUGCAGCAAGGCCGCGUGUAUGAAGAAGGCCUUAGGUUUGUAAAGUACUUUCAUCGGGGAGGCGUUACCCGCAGAAGAAGCACCGGCUAACUCCGUGCCAGCAGCCGCGGUAAUAC
rnacentral:rRNA from 1 species